GAUCAUGGCUCAGGAUGAACGCUAGCGGCAGGCCCAACACAUGCAAGUCUGAGGGAAACAGAGGAGUUUGCUUCUGCUGACGACCGGCGCACGGGUGCGUAACGGGUAUAGAAUCUACCUUGUACUGAGGAAUAGCCUUUGGAAACGAAGAUUAAUGCCUCAUGGUAUAUCGGUUCGGCAUCGAGUUGAUAUUAAAGAUUACGGUAUAAGAUGACUAUGCGUUCUAUUAGCUAGAUGGUGUGGUAACGGCACACCAUGGCGACGAUAGAUAGGGGCCCUGAGAGGGGGAUCCCCCACACUGGUACUGAGACACGGACCAGACUCCUACGGGAGGCAGCAGUGAGGAAUAUUGGACAAUGGAGGCAACUCUGAUCCAGCCAUGCCGCGUGCAGGAAGACUGCCCUAUGGGUUGUAAACUGCUUUUAUACAGGAAGAAACACCUCUACGUGUAGAGACUUGACGGUACUGUAAGAAUAAGGAUCGGCUAAC
rnacentral:rRNA from 1 species